rnacentral:tRNA from 1 species
GGUUCGGUGGUGUAGUUGGUUAUCACAUUCGUCUCACACACGAGAGGUCCCCGGUUCGAGACCGGGUCGAACCA